CUGAUUGGCUGAGUUCUGGACAUGUGACCAAUCAGGUCCUAGAUCAGCACUUAACAGUUGGUGCGAGGUAGUUGAGACAGUUGGUGACCGGUUUGUGAUAGUUAAGGACUCCAAUGGCAGAAACAGUGCGCUUAGGCCGUGUGUGACACCAUGAUUUCCAGAGAGGUGCGCCCCGUCUACUCAUCCGACUCCCAGGUACAUCCUGGUCUGCUGCUGUCUUCGUGGUGAAAGAGAAAGGCCCAUCUCUGUGGUUGUUGAACCAUGAGGAGCAGAGAUCAGCCUGGCAUGGACUGAGAGCCAGAGGAAGGAGCCAAGCCAGAGCUCCAUUGGGCUGUGUGCCUGUACACCCAUCAGGUACUGAAGACACUCUGGGCACAAGUUCCUGUACCCUUCCUCCAGUUGCUGGAUUUUAGCUACUUGCUUCCUCCUCCUUCAGCUUCCUGCAGCACUUGCUAUGAUGCUCUGGUCAAAUUGGUUAAGCAUGGCACCAUCAUCCUGGCUUCUGACUUGUAUUUGCAUCAUGUUCUGGAAUCUUGACCACUAACAGGAGCACAGGACUCCACACCACCGCUGGCUGGAGAGCAGACACACCUGGAGCCCUCCCCAUAACACCUGUGCACUCUGUCUAGCGGGCUCCAAACUUCUAGUCUGUGCUCUUGGGAGGGAGGAGGGAGCCAGCAUCCCCUUUUCUCUCUUCAUUUGUUGUGAUUCACCGUAGGCAAAGAGGAGGUUGAGAGGCAAAGGCUGGCCUGGCCUGAGUGUUCUGCCACAGCUGGGACCUGGCAAAUGACGUUCCACUGACUAGGUUGUUGACUAGUCAUUGGUGAAGGCCAAUAGGUGGAGUAGAAGGAAAGUGUGUGAGUCUGGUGCAUGUUGGGAACAUAAUUUUAAUAGUAAUAUUAUUUUCUAUAACAUGUAAAACUGUUUAUUAAUUCUAGUCACUUUAUUUACUUUUUUUUUUGAUGAGCUUUCUGGGGUUUUCAACAUACAGAUUCAUGUCCUCUAUGAAUGUAACUUCUACUUGCAGUCCCAGUAGGAUGAGCAACCAACCAACCUCCCUCCCUCCCUCCCUCCCUCCCUC